ACCCAAAUAGCUCAGUUGGGAGAGCGUUAGACUACAGAUCGAAAGGUCCCUGGUUCUAUCCCGGGAAUCGGCA
rnacentral:tRNA from 1 species